UGGGGAAUAUUGGACAAUGGGCGAAAGCCUGAUCCAGCAAUGCCGCGUGAGUGAUGAAGGCCUUAGGGUCGUAAAGCUCUUUUACCCGGGAUGAUAAUGACAGUACCGGGAGAAUAAGCUCCGGCUAACUCCGUGCCAGCAGCCGCGGUAAUACGGAGGGAGCUAGCGUUGUUCGGAAUUACUGGGCGUAAAGCGUACGUAGGCGGUUAUUCAAGUCAGAGGUGAAAGCCCGGGGCUCAACCCCGGAACUGCCUUUGAAACUAGAUAGCUAGAAUCUUGGAGAGGUCAGUGGAAUUCCGAGUGUAGAGGUGAAAUUCGUAGAUAUUCGGAAGAACACCAGUGGCGAAGGCGACUGACUGGACAAGUAUUGACGCUGAGGUACGAAAGCGUGGGGAGCAAACAGGAUUAGAUACCCUGGUAGUCCCUGAGCGGGCUGGCAAGGCGCAU
rnacentral:rRNA from 1 species